UACGUAGGGCGCAAGCGUUAUCCGGAAUUAUUGGGCGUAAAGAGCUCGUAGGCGGUUUGUCGCGUCUGCCGUGAAAGUCCGGGGCUCAACUCCGGAUCUGCGGUGGGUACGGGCAGACUAGAGUGAUGUAGGGGAGACUGGAAUUCCUGGUGUAGCGGUGAAAUGCGCAGAUAUCAGGAGGAACACCGAUGGCGAAGGCAGGUCUCUGGGCAAUAACUGACGCUGAGGAGCGAAAGCAUGGGGAGCGAACAGG
rnacentral:rRNA from 1 species